GGAAAGGUGGCCGAGUGGUUUAAGGUAUAGCAUUGGAAAUGCUAUGUAGAUUCAUAACUACCGAGGGUUCGAAUCCCUCCCUUUCCC
rnacentral:tRNA from 1 species